rnacentral:rRNA from 1 species
AACGAACGCUGGCGGCAUGCCUAACACAUGCAAGUCGAACGAAGCCUUCGGGCUUAGUGGCGCACGGGUGCGUAACGCGUGGGAAUCUGCCCUUUGGUUCGGAAUAACAGUUGGAAACGACUGCUAAUACCGGAUGAUGACGAAAGUCCAAAGAUUUAUCGCCAGAGGAUGAGCCCGCGUAGGAUUAGCUAGUUGGUGUGGUAAAGGCGCACCAAGGCGACGAUCCUUAGCUGGUCUAAGAGGAUGAUCAGCCACACUGGGACUGAGACGCGGCCCAGACUCCUACGGGAGGCAGCAGUGGGGAAUAUUGGACAAUGGGCGAAAGCCUGAUCCAGCAAUGCCGCGUGAGUGAUGAAGGCCCUAGGGUUGUAAAGCUCUUUUACCCGGGAUGAUAAUGACAGUACCGGGAGAAUAAGCCCCGGCUAACUCCGUGCCAGCCGCCGCGGUAA